UUCUGAAAUUUCAAAAUUUUAAAGAUCGUUGAUUGUAAUUGAUAUUCUUAUAGAGGGUGCUUCAAUAUCAUUUCCCCUUACAUUUUCCAUUUUUCUUCAUCACCAAAAGUCUGUAUGUCAUCAUUCAACUUUUGUACUUUGUGGCCUUUCCUCUUGAAGUCUGUGAAAAAGUCUAAAGUUGUUGAAAUAACAUGAUAAGUGUGACCACGCUUCGUUUUCUUCAUGGCAAAAGUCUUCAAGUCAUCUUCAAGUAUAGCCCCACAAUAACCCCAUAUAUCCUGGCAUCCAUUUUAUCCAAACAAAAGAAUAUCUUGCAAUAACAAGCUAUCAACCACCGCUAAAUCUGUCAAUAUUGAUAGUGAACUUUGAAAACACAUUUUCCAUUUUCUUUUUGCACAUUUUGGCUUUGCUCUCUUAAUGUCUAUGUAAAAGUCUAAACUUUUGAAAUAACAUGUUCCGUAUCGUGACUUUUUAUCUCCUUCAUCACAAAAGUCUACAAGUCAUCUUUCAACUAGAGCCCUACAACUUGAACUCUAUAAGUCUUACAAAUCCAUUUUAGACGCCUCACAUCUCCUGACAAGAAGCAAAACAAAGAGAAACCUUACUUAUCUAAAAAUUGUGUUUUAUAAUUCUUCCUAAUCUCUUAACUUCUGAGCUUAUAUCCUAUUGAAGAUGUUGUCACUGUGAUGGGCUCUAUCUGGAAACUCUUCUAUGCAUUAUUUUCAUUGCUGUUUUUGUUGCACACAAGUUUCAGUUUGGCCACUAACAGUGAAGGAGCAAAGUGCGUAGAGAAGGAGAGAAAAGCUUUGCUCUCGUUCAAACAAGGAAUCCUACAAGAUGACUUUGGCAUGUUAUCCACUUGGAGGGAUGAAGAUAAUGAAGAUUGCUGCAACUGGAAAGGAGUUUAUUGCAGUAAUGAAACAGGUCAUAUUCAAAUCCUUUACCUUCGCAGUCCGUAUCCUGUCUAUUUGAGAGGUGAAAUUAAUAUCACUUCAUUGAGUGAGUUGCAUGGUAUGGAAUAUUUGGAUCUCAGUGGCAAUCAAUUCUAUUUAAAUGAAAUUCCUGAGUCCAUAGAGUCCUUUACCAAGUUAAUAUAUCUCAACCUCUCUACUUCAGAUUUUGUUGGGACUAUUCCUUAUGAAUUGGGAAAGCUUUCAAAUUUAGUAUAUCUUGAUCUGAGUUUCAAUAGAUUCGUUGGAGCUAUCACUUGGACAGUUGGAAAUCUUUCAACAUUGCAAUAUCUCAAUCUUGGAGGAAAUGUUCUUGCUGGAUCGAUCCCUUUUUAACUCGGGAAUCUCUCCAUGUUGCAGACACUUCAUCUUGGUUACAAUUAUAAUCUCAUGUUAGACGACCAGAAGAUUAAUCAUGAUGCAAAGUGGCUAUCUAAGCUUUCUUCACUAUCAAGUCUUGACUUGAGUUUUGUGAUUGAUGUUGGCUAGUCUUAUCUCUGGCCACAAAUGAUUGGUGAGCUGUCAAAACUUAGAGUUUUGACGCUAAGAGGAUGUCGAAUUUCUUAUGUCCAUAAGCUUUCUUUUAAUGCUUAUACUUCCAAUUAUUCCUCUUCUCUUGCUGUCCUUGAUCUCUCUAAAAAUAACCUGAACUCACCAUCAUUUCAAUGGCCCUUCAAUUUCAGCUCCAACCUUCAAGUUUUAUAUCCAAGUGAUUGUAAUCUUUCAACUACUAAUCUUCAUUUUCUAUUUUCCCAUUUUCAACUUUCUUCCCUCAUCAUCCUUGACCUUUCUUACAAUAACCUGAUGUCACUAAAGGCAUUGGACUUUAGCUCCAAUCUACAAGUGCUUAAUUUAAGAAAUUGUAGCCUUUUAUCUGAUAAUCUUUUUUUCACAUCUUUCAAUCCCAAUCUCACUUCUCUUUUCUAGCUUGAUUUGUCUCUUAAUCUGUUGACAUCAUUUUCCAUAUUCCACUGGAUUUUCUAACUUAAAUUCAACAUUCUGGUAACUUGCUGAAAGGUCCCUUUCCAUGAGGUUAUGGAAACAUAAUGAACUCUCUUGAAAUUCUUGAUCUUUCCUAUAAUAAGCUGCAAGGUGAAAUACGAACCUCACUAGGGAAUAUAUGCACUUUGAAUGCCUUGUAUCUUUCCCAUAACAACUUUAGUGGGGAACUUUCAAGUUUUACUCAAAACACUUCCUGGUGCAAUGGUCAUCCACUAAGACUUCUGUACUUAUCAGACAAUCAAAUAAAGGGCAUGUCAAGCAAUCUUCAUGUUUUCUCCUUUUUGGAAUAUUUAGAUCUCUCUAAUAAUCAAUUGAAAGGAGAAAUACCUGAAAGCGUCGGAUUACUAUCUCAAUUGAAUGAUUUGUGCUUACAUGGGAAUAAUUUGGGAGGUGUAAUCACUGAAUCUCAUUUCAAGAAUCUCUCCAAUUUGAAGACUUUAUCAUUGUUUGGCAAUUCUUUGACCCUGCGAAUUAGCACUAGAUGGAUUGCCCCGUUUCAGUUGCAAAAUUUGGAAAUGGCUUCUUGUAUGGUGGGUCCUUCUUUUCCAAAUUGGCUCCAUAAUCAACAUAAGUCAGACACAUUGAAUAUUUCCAAUUGUGGGCUUUCGGGUUUCAUACCAGAGUGGUUUUGGUCUCUAAUAAGAAAUAUGACUUUCAUGGAUAUCUCACACAACAAUUUUGUUGGUGAAAUUCCAAAGUUACCAUUGAAGUUUAAUUAUAUGCCACUAAUAAUUUUGACUUCAAACAACUUUGAAGAUGCAGUUCCAUCAUUUUUUUCACAAGCAUCAACUCUUUAUCUUUUAGGAAAUAAAUUCUCGAAUUUGGUUCCACUUUUAUAUGGCCAAAUUGAAAAUGAAGGCUUUGACAUUUUAGACAUAUCAAACAAUCGAUUAGGGGGAACUCUACCUGAUUGUUGGAGCCAUCUAAACUCAUUAGAGCUUGUUAAUUUGAGCAAUAAUAAUUUGUCAGGAGAAAUACCAACCUCCAUAGGACAACUUGUGAAUUUGGAGCCUUUGGUUUUAAGAAACAAUAGCUUUGGAGAACUUCCUUCAUCUUUGGCAAAUUGUUCCCAUUUGUUGUUGUUAGAUGUGUCUGAGAAUAAGUUGUCAGGGUCAAUACCCUCAUGGGUUGGAGAAAAUCUUGGACAAUUGCAAGUUCUAAGCUUGAGGAUGAAUACUUUUUAUGGCAGCCUACCUUUACAACUUCAUCACUUGGCACACAUUUGACUCUUGGAUCUAUCUCAUAAUAACUUGUCCAAUGAAAUUCCAUCAUGUCUUCAAAACUUCACAGUUUUGGCUCAAGAUGACAUCAACUUAACGAAAGCAAGUUACCACUCACAUAUGUUCAAUAAAACAGGCUUGGGAUAUACCAUUUAUGGCUUUGAAUUCUAUGUAACAUUGAUGUGGAAGGGUAAAGAUCACUUGUUCAAGAGGCCAGAACAACUUCUUAAAAACAUUGAUUUAUCUAGCAAUGCUUUCACAGGUGAAAUACCUAAAGAGGUUGUAUCUCUGUUGGGAUUGGUUUCCUUGAAUUUAUCAAGAAACAAAUUGAGUGGAAAAAUUCCUAUUGAGAUUGGCAAUCUAGGAUUACUGGAAUUCUUAGAUCUGUCAAGAAAUAGAUUAUCAGGCCCAAUCCCUCCAAGUCUUGCUCAUAUUGAUUGCCUAAGUGUAUUAGACUUGUCAAACAAUCAUCUGUCUGGAAAAAUCCCGAGAGGAACACAAUUGCAGAGUUUUAAUGCCUCAAGUUAUGAGGGAAAUCUGGAUUUGUGUGGAGUUCCACUCAACAAAAAUUGCCAAGAAGAUGAAACGCCUACACCUCAAGCAAGUGAUCAGUAUGAAAAUGAUGUCUCACUUUUCACAACUCAAUAAUUUUAUUUGAGCUUAGGAUUGGGAUUUUCUAUCAGAUUUUGGGCAUUCAUUGGGCCAUUUCUCUUCAUUCGCUCAUGGAGACAAAUCUACUAGACCUUUGUAAGAAGAGUUAAAGGCAAAAUCCAGAUCAUGGUGGCGAUUUAUGGGGCAACACCAAUAGAUAGAAGGAUCUAUUAUACUUCGAUUUGGCUUGGUGUUUGUAGGAUCAUCUUGAUUAGUUGCUAAUUUGUGAUCCAAGCGGCAACGUUUUGUUGGAUGAAUUUGAUGUUGUAUAAUAUAAUGUGCUUUCAAUAAUCUUCAUUACUAGCAUUUAAUCUACCUAUUUAAGUUUUUCUAUCGCCUUGUGAAUCUUCUGUUGUAUGUACGCAUUGGGAGUAGCUGAUAUUUUGAUGCAUUGCAUGAUUUAUCUGCUCGAUUAUGUGAUUUCUAUGAUAUACAAAGAGAAACUGAAUACAGCCAAAAGCUUUGCAGUCCAGUAAGAUGCAAGCUCUCUUGUAGUGAGAGGUCAUGGGUUUGAUUCCAUUGGUAAUCCUAGGCCAUUAAUACCUAUUCCUCUAAUUCACAGAGAGAGAGAGAGAGAGAGUACACUCGGUUGGUUAAAUAAUAUGGGCACACUAUGGAACUAAGUAGCUUCUUAUAAAUUAUGUUUAUUGUUUUAAUUUUAUUACAUAUAUACUUGCUAGCUUUUCAUCAGAAUCUUUUAAACCUGUUUAAGUUGUUCAGAAAUAAAAGAGAGAACAAAGUAAUUAACAAAGGUUGAUUUAGUUGGUAAGAAUUUCACCUAUAAUCUAUAAAGUGUGUUUAAAUCUCAUUGUCAAUGUAAGGAUUUUAUUAAUGGGUGAUCUGUAAGUAUUUUUAUAGGUGUUUUUUGAACUUAGAGGCAUGUCUUGGUCCUUAUGAGCUCUUAGGCUUUAGAAUCUGACUUAUCCAAACUUUCUUAUACAAGAAAAAAAAAGAGAGAGAGAAAAAGCACAGCUCGUUAUAGUUUUAUUGUGUUUUAUUAUUGGUCCUUAUUUUUUGUUGUUAUUCUAGGUCUCUUUAUUUUCUCUCAUUUGCAAUAUUAGUCUUGUUAUUUUUAAAUAUAUCUAGAGGGACAACGAAUUGACACUAAUGAUAUUAAAUCAUUUGACAUUUAACUAAUGAAUGUUAAUUUUGAUGCUGGAUGUAAAAAUAAGAGACAUAGCAAUCACAAAAUACAGAGUAACGAUGAUCAACUAGAAGAAACUGAAAAUUAUGCCCAAAUACUAAGACAAAACAAAUAUUAAUAUGAGCCAAAAUAACAGUUAAUGGCUUCAAAAAUAGAGUAUAUUAGUGUGACAAACGAAACCAAAGCAAAGGUGAACACUAAAGAGAUGGGUUCAAAGUCUGUAAAAACAAAUAAAAUAAAACUUAAUUUCUGUAAAAACAAAUGUUGUGCGCUCGGUGCUUCAAUUGGCAUAUGCCAAAUUUUGGGAGGAUCCUACCUCUCGGGGGGUUCCUGCAUGUCCAGAUCAAAGCUCUAUGAUUGUUAAGUUAAAUUAAUUAGUCAGUGAUUAAUAGUCUUUUUAUUAUGGUGCUAGUGCAAAGAUUAAUGAGUCCUUGGGCGAUCGAGAGUCCACUCGAUCCGAUUAGUCUAUAGUGUGCUUUUAAAAUAUUUUUGAAGAGAUAUUUUACUUUGAAUAAAUUGAUCCACUAGCCGAAAAAAAUUUUAUGCCAAGAAAAUAUAAAAUAAAUUUUUGAAAGUUUGAAAGUAU